rnacentral:piRNA from 1 species
UGUUUUGUUCUGCUCUAGUUGU